rnacentral:lncRNA from 1 species
UACCGCAAAUGGAAAAUCGUUUAAAUGGUCGUUUACAAAGUAUUUGAAGUGUUAAAUACUUUGAAGGUCUGCACUGUUUAAUUAAAGGUGUGCUAUUGUUGAUGGGCGGAUCUUUGGGUGAUAAUGAAGCAUUUGUGGCCUUUCAUUUACGCCAGAUUAAAGGUCUUUACAUGGAGAUAUGGGACUCUGAUGAAAAUCUCGACAACUUUAACAAAAGCCGUUUGACACCGAAUAAACUGCCUUGAUGAACCGAGAUCGCCAUAAACUGUAAUACAACAAAGACCACAAAGAACGAAAAUGUUAUAAUUUGAUUUCUUUUUUUCUUCACUU